rnacentral:lncRNA from 1 species
GAUGUAGGUCUUUUGUGCCGAACCACGUAAAUCUUGGUUCUUUGUCUUUGUUUAUUUAUGCCUGCAAUGUGUUUGGUGAAUUGUCUCAAAGAAAUUAGACAUUAGAUCGCAAGCCCAGAUCGAUCCAAUCCGGUGCGCGUUGCUCCAACAUAUUUAAUGCUGGAAAAUGGAUGGUCAAUGUAGCACAUGGUUCCCGAAAAAUUAAGUAAGGCACAUGGAG